CCCCCUCAAACAAAAUCUUUUCAUUGACCUACGAAGUCUUAUGAAAGAUGUUCUUCAAAUGAUAUACUUUACAUUUUUGUGUGAGGCUCCUAUUGUACACACCUCAGAGGGCAUGUCUUCCAGCUUUGUGCUUGACUAUUUUAUUAUUUUUUUUUAAUGUUUUGGGCAUACUGUGUGGCAUGGGAGAUCUUAUUUCCCUGACCAGGUAUAGAACUUUCACCCCCUGCAUGAGAAGUGAGAAGUCUUAAGCACUGGAUUGCCAGGGAAAUUCCUCAGCUAUUUUAAAGGUGACAUUUCCAAAGGCCAGUUCAAUCCCUUCUGCCAGGUGGCAGCAAAUAGUUCUUACUGGACAAAUAGUUCUUAAUGGACAGCAAAUAGUUCUUAAUGGACAGCAAAUAGUUCUUAAUGGACACCAGGCACCUUGAUAAAUGAAUCUACCUGAGAUAGACACUUUGGAAACAGGAACUAAGGUAGGAGGUAUUCACAGACAGCAAAGAGUCAUUUCAAGUAAUCUGACAGUAAGUUAAACUAAACAACCUACAGACAGACCACCACAGCCACUCCAAGAGAAGCAAUGUCUUAAAAAAGACCCAAGUCCCUUCUAUCUGCUACCCUAGACAAGGAACAGGAAGAGGAAUAAAUGAGCAAUAUGGAAGAGAAAACAACUUAAUGGCCUGCAGAGAGAAAUAACAAUAAAAAUCAGGCCAACUCACCCCAUACCACUUCUGAGAAAUCCAGCACCUUGAAGAAAUACUGGUUACAUGGAGGCUGGAACCCAGAUCAGCAUCGAGUGAAAAAGCAUCUGUGAAGGGUUGAUUGUGCGUGUGCCUGUGUGAGGCUUUGUCCCAACAGAGACAGAAUGGCUCUGUCUCUUUUCCUGGCCAGAACCCCAGCUGUGCAACAGAAUUAUAGCAAACACUUGAUGACUAAGACUCCAAAUCUCCAAAAAUACAACAAACAACAUGAGAAAGUCUCAUCAGAUUUUCCUUGCAUUUGCUGGCACUGAGCCCUGUUUGGUCAGA